CGCCGUUAAACUGGGAAGAAGACGAAUAUGACGGCUUGCUGUGAGUUACAAUGGAACAGAUUAUGUUUAUCUGCUGUAGAGUGACUGAUGAAGGAAUGCUGCCAUCAAAGGAUUUGUGUUAUGAAAAUGUCUGCAGACUGGUGUGUGCACUGAGGAUGGAGAAGUCCACUGCAGCAUCCGGAAAUGGUCCAGAGAUAUGGAUGAGAUGCUCCAUCACUCCAGCUCUCAUCAGGACCAGAUGCUGCUGUGGUCUCUUCCUCAUCGGUGGCCCCAGAGCAGCGAGAGCAUCUAGAGAAAGACCAAAAGACACUGAGGAUUUGAUUUUGGUAAAGUUUGUUCUGCUGGUUUCUGUUUAUACAAUGAAGGCUGACUUUCAGAAGCUUCAAAAGCAUCAUCAAAAAAUGUGAUGGAGCUUUUAUCUGAAGUCAUUGACAGUGCUCUUAUUACAGGGGCCUACAAUCCUCUGAUCCACCUGGAGAAAAGAGCCGUGCUCACAGACAUACUGCUGGUUUUGAACCAGUUCAGUGGUUUAGCCCACUACAAAAAUAAUAAAUUAAUGCAUGUACUUAUGGCACCUUUAAAGGUAGUGGUGCUCGUGGAGAGCAGGCACACGAUUGUUUGGAGCAGACACAGCAGCAGUCAGAUUGUCCUGCACGUGUUCUUCUGCUCUCACUUCAAGGUUGUGUGGUUGAGAGAGC